AUUGAACGCUGGCGGCAUGCUUUACACAUGCAAGUCGAACGGCAGCGGACCUUCGGGUGCCGGCGAGUGGCGAACGGGUGAGUAAUAUAUCGGAACGUACCUUUCAGUGGGGGAUAACGUAGCGAAAGUUACGCUAAUACCGCAUAUUCUGUGAGCAGGAAAGCAGGGGAUCGCAAGACCUUGCGCUGAUUGAGCGGCCGAUAUCAGAUUAGCUAGUUGGUGAGGUAAAGGCUCACCAAGGCGACGAUCUGUAGCGGGUCUGAGAGGAUGAUCCGCCACACUGGAACUGAGACACGGUCCAGACUCCUACGGGAGGCAGCAGGUGGGGUAAUUUUGGACAAGUGGGCGCAAGCCUGAUCCAGCCAUGCCGCGUGAGUGAAGAA
rnacentral:rRNA from 1 species